UGCCAGACUCCUACGGGAGGCAGCAGUGGGGAAUAUUGCACAAUGGGGGAAACCCUGAUGCAGCAACGCCGCGUGAGUGAAGAAGUAUUUCGGUAUGUAAAGCUCUAUCAGCAGGGAAGAAAAUGACGGUACCUGAGUAAGAAGCCCCGGCUAACUACGUGCCAGCAGCCGCGGUAAUACGUAGGGGGCAAGCGUUAUCCGGAUUUACUGGGUGUAAAGGGAGCGUAGACGGCGAUGCAAGUCUGAAGUGAAAGCCCGGGGCUCAACCCCGGGACUGCUUUGGAAACUGUAUGGCUGGAGUGCUGGAGAGGCAAGCGGAAUUCCUAGUGUAGCGGUGAAAUGCGUAGAUAUUAGGAAGAACACCAGUGGCGAAGGCGGCUUGCUGGACAGUAACUGACGUUGAGGCUCGAAAGCGUGGGGAGCAAACAGGAUUAGAUACCCUUGUA
rnacentral:rRNA from 1 species